rnacentral:rRNA from 1 species
CAUCUAGGCGGUCAAUCAAGUCGAAGGUGAAAACUUGUGGCUCAACCAUAAGCUUGCCUACGAAACUGAUUAACUAGAGUACUGGAGAGGUGGACGGAACUACACGAGUAGAGGUGAAAUUCGUAGAUAUGUGUAGGAAUGCCGAUGGUGAAGAUAGUUCACUGGACAGAAACUGACGCUGAAGUGCGAAAGCUAGGGGGGCAAACA